UAGGGAAUCUUCGGCAAUGGACGGAAGUCUGACCGAGCAACGCCGCGUGAGUGAAGAAGGUUUUCGGAUCGUAAAGCUCUGUUGUAAGAGAAGAGCGAGUGUGAGAGUGGAAAGUUCACACUGUGACGGUAUCUUACCAGAAAGGGACGGCUAACUACGUGCCAGCAGCCGCGGUAAUACGUAGGUCCCGAGCGUUGUCCGGAUUUAUUGGGCGUAAAGCGAGCGCAGGCGGUUAGAUAAGUCUGAAGUUAAAGGCUGUGGCUUAACCAUAGUACGCUUUGGAAACUGUUUAACUUGAGUGCAAGAGGGGAGAGUGGAAUUCCAUGUGUAGCGGUGAAAUGCGUAGAUAUAUGGAGGAACACCGGUGGCGAAAGCGGCUCUCUGGCUUGUAACUGACGCUGAGGCUCGAAAGCGUGGGGAGCAAACAGGAUUAGAUACCCUGGUAGUCCACGCCGUAAACGAUGAGUGCUAGGUGUUAGACCCUUUCCGGGGUUUAGUGCCGCAGCUAACGCAUUAAGCACUCCGCCUGGGGAGUACGACCGCAAGGUUG
rnacentral:rRNA from 1 species